UAGAGUUUGAUCCUGGCUCAGGAUGAACGCUAGCGGCAGGCUUAACACAUGCAAGUCGAGGGGCAUCGGGAGGGAAGCUUGCUUUCCUUGCCGGCGACCGGCGCACGGGUGAGUAACACGUAUGCAACCUGCCCUCUUCAGGGGGACAACCUUCCGAAAGGGAGGCUAAUCCCGCGUAUAUCGGUUUCGGGCAUCCGGGAUCGAGGAAAGAUUCAUCGGAAGAGGAUGGGCAUGCGGCGCAUUAGCUUGACGGCGGGGUAACGGCCCACCGUGGCGACGAUGCGUAGGGGUUCUGAGAGGAAGGUCCCCCACACUGGUACUGAGACACGGACCAGACUCCUACGGGAGGCAGCAGUGAGGAAUAUUGGUCAAUGGGAGAGAUCCUGAACCAGCCAAGCCGCGUGAGGGAAGACGGCCCUAUGGGUUGUAAACCUCUUUUGUCGGAGAACAAAACCCGGGACGUGUCCCGGACUGCGUGUAUCCGAAGAAAAAGCAUCGGCUAACUCCGUGCCAGCAGCCGCGGUAAUACGGAGGAUGCGAGCGUUAUCCGGAUUUAUUGGGUUUAAAGGGUGCGUAGGCGGUCCGUUAAGUCAGCGGUAAAAUUGCGGGGCUCAACCCCGUCGAGCCGUUGAAACUGGCAGACUUGAGUUGGCGAGAAGUACGCGGAAUGCGCGGUGUAGCGGUGAAAUGCAUAGAUAUCGCGCAGAACUCCGAUUGCGAAGGCAGCGUACCGGCGCCACACUGACGCUGAGGCACGAAAGCGUGGGGAUCGAACAGGAUUAGAUACCCU
rnacentral:rRNA from 1 species